rnacentral:rRNA from 1 species
UACGUAGGGUGCAAGCGUUGUCCGGAAUUAUUGGGCGUAAAGAGCUCGUAGGCGGUCUGUCGCGUCGGAUGUGAAAAUCCAGGGCUUAACCCUGGGCCUGCAUUCGAUACGGGCAGACUAGAGUUCGGUAGGGGAGACUGGAAUUCCUGGUGUAGCGGUGAAAUGCGCAGAUAUCAGGAGGAACACCGGUGGCGAAGGCGGGUCUCUAGGCCGAUACUGACGCUGAAGAGCGAAAGCGUGGGGAGCGAACAGG